rnacentral:rRNA from 1 species
UACGUAGGGUGCAAGCGUUGUCCGGAAUCAUUGGGCGUAAAGAGCGUGUAGGCGGCCCGGUAAGUCCGCUGUGAAAGUCCAGGGCUCAACCCUGGGAUGCCGGUGGAUACUGUCGGGCUCGAGUCCGGAAGAGGAGUGUGGAAUUCCUGGUGUAGCGGUGAAAUGCGCAGAUAUCAGGAGGACACCAAUGGCGAAGGCAGCACUCUGGGACGUGACUGACGCUGAGACGCGAAAGCGUGGGGAGCAAACAGG